GGGUUGUGAGGUUAAGCGACUAAGCGUACACGGUGGAUGCCCUGGCAGUCAGAGGCGAUGAAGGACGUGCUAAUCUGCGAUAAGCGUCGGUAAGGUGAUAUGAACCGUUAUAACCGGCGAUUUCCGAAUGGGGAAACCCAGUGUGUUUCGACACACUAUCAUUAACUGAAUCCAUAGGUUAAUGAGGCGAACCGGGGGAACUGAAACAUCUAAGUACCCCGAGGAAAAGAAAUCAACCGAGAUUCCCCCAGUAGCGGCGAGCGAACGGGGAGCAGCCCAGAGCCUGAAUCAGUAUGUGUGUUAGUGGAAGCGUCUGGAAAGGCGCGCGAUACAGGGUGACAGCCCCGUACACAAAAAUGCACAUAUUGUGAGCUCGAUGAGUAGGGCGGGACACGUGGUAUCCUGUCUGAAUAUGGGGGGACCAUCCUCCAAGGCUAAAUACUCCUGACUGACCGAUAGUGAACCAGUACCGUGAGGGAAAGGCGAAAAGAACCCCGGCGAGGGGAGUGAAAAAGAACCUGAAACCGUGUACGUACAAGCAGUGGGAGCACGCUUAGGCGUGUGACUGCGUACCUUUUGUAUAAUGGGUCAGCGACUUAUAUUCUGUAGCAAGGUUAACCGAAUAGGGGAGCCGAAGGGAAACCGAGUCUUAACUGGGCGUUAAGUUGCAGGGUAUAGACCCGAAACCCGGUGAUCUAGCCAUGGGCAGGUUGAAGGUUGGGUAACACUAACUGGAGGACCGAACCGACUAAUGUUGAAAAAUUAGCGGAUGACUUGUGGCUGGGGGUGAAAGGCCAAUCAAACCGGGAGAUAGCUGGUUCUCCCCGAAAGCUAUUUAGGUAGCGCCUCGUGAACUCAUCUCCGGGGGUAGAGCACUGUUUCGGCAAGGGGGUCAUCCCGACUUACCAACCCGAUGCAAACUGCGAAUACCGGAGAAUGUUAUCACGGGAGACACACGGCGGGUGCUAACGUCCGUCGUGAAGAGGGAAACAACCCAGACCGCCAGCUAAGGUCCCAAAGUCAUGGUUAAGUGGGAAACGAUGUGGGAAGGCCCAGACAGCCAGGAUGUUGGCUUAGAAGCAGCCAUCAUUUAAAGAAAGCGUAAUAGCUCACUGGUCGAGUCGGCCUGCGCGGAAGAUGUAACGGGGCUAAACCAUGCACCGAAGCUGCGGCAGCGACGCUUAUGCGUUGUUGGGUAGGGGAGCGUUCUGUAAGCCUGCGAAGGUGUGCUGUGAGGCAUGCUGGAGGUAUCAGAAGUGCGAAUGCUGACAUAAGUAACGAUAAAGCGGGUGAAAAGCCCGCUCGCCGGAAGACCAAGGGUUCCUGUCCAACGUUAAUCGGGGCAGGGUGAGUCGACCCCUAAGGCGAGGCCGAAAGGCGUAGUCGAUGGGAAACAGGUUAAUAUUCCUGUACUUGGUGUUACUGCGAAGGGGGGACGGAGAAGGCUAUGUUGGCCGGGCGACGGUUGUCCCGGUUUAAGCGUGUAGGCUGGUUUUCCAGGCAAAUCCGGAAAAUCAAGGCUGAGGCGUGAUGACGAGGCACUACGGUGCUGAAGCAACAAAUGCCCUGCUUCCAGGAAAAGCCUCUAAGCAUCAGGUAACAUCAAAUCGUACCCCAAACCGACACAGGUGGUCAGGUAGAGAAUACCAAGGCGCUUGAGAGAACUCGGGUGAAGGAACUAGGCAAAAUGGUGCCGUAACUUCGGGAGAAGGCACGCUGAUAUGUAGGUGAGGUCCCUCGCGGAUGGAGCUGAAAUCAGUCGAAGAUACCAGCUGGCUGCAACUGUUUAUUAAAAACACAGCACUGUGCAAACACGAAAGUGGACGUAUACGGUGUGACGCCUGCCCGGUGCCGGAAGGUUAAUUGAUGGGGUCAGCGCAAGCGAAGCUCUUGAUCGAAGCCCCGGUAAACGGCGGCCGUAACUAUAACGGUCCUAAGGUAGCGAAAUUCCUUGUCGGGUAAGUUCCGACCUGCACGAAUGGCGUAAUGAUGGCCAGGCUGUCUCCACCCGAGACUCAGUGAAAUUGAACUCGCUGUGAAGAUGCAGUGUACCCGCGGCAAGACGGAAAGACCCCGUGAACCUUUACUAUAGCUUGACACUGAACAUUGAGCCUUGAUGUGUAGGAUAGGUGGGAGGCUUAGAAGUGUGGACGCCAGUCUGCAUGGAGCCGACCUUGAAAUACCACCCUUUAAUGUUUGAUGUUCUAACGUUGACCCGUAAUCCGGGUUGCGGACAGUGUCUGGUGGGUAGUUUGACUGGGGCGGUCUCCUCCUAAAGAGUAACGGAGGAGCACGAAGGUUGGCUAAUCCUGGUCGGACAUCAGGAGGUUAGUGCAAUGGCAUAAGCCAGCUUGACUGCGAGCGUGACGGCGCGAGCAGGUGCGAAAGCAGGUCAUAGUGAUCCGGUGGUUCUGAAUGGAAGGGCCAUCGCUCAACGGAUAAAAGGUACUCCGGGGAUAACAGGCUGAUACCGCCCAAGAGUUCAUAUCGACGGCGGUGUUUGGCACCUCGAUGUCGGCUCAUCACAUCCUGGGGCUGAAGUAGGUCCCAAGGGUAUGGCUGUUCGCCAUUUAAAGUGGUACGCGAGCUGGGUUUAGAACGUCGUGAGACAGUUCGGUCCCUAUCUGCCGUGGGCGCUGGAGAACUGAGGGGGGCUGCUCCUAGUACGAGAGGACCGGAGUGGACGCAUCACUGGUGUUCGGGUUGUCAUGCCAAUGGCACUGCCCGGUAGCUAAAUGCGGAAGAGAUAAGUGCUGAAAGCAUCUAAGCACGAAACUUGCCCCGAGAUGAGUUCUCCCUGACCCUUUAAGGGUCCUGAAGGAACGUUGAAGACGACGACGUUGAUAGGCCGGGUGUGUAAGCGCAGCGAUGCGUUGAGCUAACCGGUACUAAUGAACCGUGAGGCUUAACCUUACAACGCCGAAGCUGUU
rnacentral:rRNA from 1 species